rnacentral:lncRNA from 1 species
GAGGGUAGGUCUCCGGCCUGCCAUCCAUGUGGCCCCAGGCAGGGACCGCAGCUCCUCCCGAGCCCCGCCCAACCCCCCCAACCCGGGGGAGGCAGAGGGCAGCAGAAAAAGGUGCCCCAGAACCCUGCAACCCAGCUUGGACGUGAGUGUGUGGAACUAAAGUGCACUGAAGGGGGGUGACACCUCCAGGAGCACAACCGCUGGCUGAUGGUGUGUCCCCCGGACAGUGCCCCCCCUCGCCCUAAAUGUCUUUUUGCAGUUAAAACUGGGUGGUGAUCUCUCCACCAGGGCCAGUGGGCGAGGCCACAACUGACCUCAGCCCCAGGCCUCAGUGAAGGAGCCCACCCCCGGCCCUAAAUGUAUGUGUAUGUGGCUAAGUAUGAGGAACUUUGGGAGAUAGCCAAUACUCCGAGGGGUCCAGCAGACAGAGACAUCAAUGGGAAGGCUCCGUCUACUGGCCCCCCCGGAAGGAGCCCCCAGAUUCCUAGACAAGUGUGUAUGACUAAUGCAAUUAAAACUGCAGAGCAUCCCACUUGGAAGGGACGGAACCACUUCCCAGUAGCCCCGGUCCCUCCAUCAGCAGGACGCCCCUUGCAGACCUAAGUGGAUGAAUGCGGAGAAAUGUAGUUGGAAAGCAGAGCACCAGGGUCCGCAGAGCCAGGUUCCCGACUGGCUCUGCUACCCAUCCCACCACCCCCCACAACCCCCAGCCAGGAAGGGACAGCCGAGACCCAGGUUCCCGACUGGCUCUGCUACCUAUCCCACCACCCCCCACAACCCCCAGCCAGGAAGGGACAGCCGAGACCCAGGGACCGCAGUACUACUGCCCAGGUGCCACACGCAGCACAGCCAGAGCCAUCCUCACCCUUCUUUCACACUUACCCAUUCUCUCGCUCAAGUAUGCCCAUGCUCGCCCCGUGUAGUGUGACACUCAGACCCACACACAUACUCUGCGGUUGUGCAUUGAGGGCCAGCCUCCGCCCAGGGCCCAAUGAAGGUUCUAGCCUGAGUAGUCCGCCAACCCCCCCUGCAACAGGCCCGAGGCAGCGCCCCACCCGAGCAGGGGCAGCGCCCCAGGGGAGAGACA